GUCCCAUAUAUGGUGAUUUCAUAAGACACAGAGGUUGCCAUAUCAACUAUAUGAGCUCAUAACCACCAGAUCAUAUAAGUAAAAGUACAGCAGGUAGCAUCAUUUCACAAAUUCAAGUACCAUCUUCGGAGACAGAUUGUGCUGGCUUCGCGGAAUGACAUGCUCCUCUUGAUCCUCUACUAGACUUUUAACAUCACCAAAACCCCAGAAAAUGACGCGAUGUGGCUGCAGGCCUCCCUAUCGCAGAAGACGUAAAAGAGGGGGGUUGGCAGGUCAGAGAGGAGGAAGAAGGGGAAAGAAAGGGAGACGAGGUAAAGCAAUGAUCCUCAUGGCAUUGUUAACAAAUGAACAAAAAAAAGCAGUAGUUCUUUGUGGUCUAGGGAAACAUGCAUUAGAAUAAGGGCAGAGUGGCCAGUUUUGGGUCCCGCCAAUGCCUUGCUUGAGUGCAUGAUGUAGAUGUUUAAAAAGAAGUGUUUGCAGGUGGGGGGAGAAACUCAAACAAUAUUUUGCACUUUUGUUUCCGCAGUGUCGGUAGCGCACACAGUGUACUACUACAGGAAAGUCAGAUAGAGCUCCGAAGCCCUUCCUUUCUAUCAUCCAGCAUUUCCAGAAAUGCCAGGCAACAUCACCAAGAUUUCUGCCUCAUGAAUGAACCACAGUUCCAGCAAAGCCAGGCCGACUGAUGUUCUGAGAUGCUGACGCCCUCCAAAGAGGAGCAAUGUGUCAUUAAACCUGAAGCUGCAACAUCUUUCCUG